rnacentral:rRNA from 1 species
GUCGAGCGACAGACGAGGAGCUUGCUCCUCUGACGUUAGCGGCGGACGGGUGAGUAACACGUGGGUAACCUACCUAUAAGACUGGGAUAACUCCGGGAAACCGGGGCUAAUACCGGAUAACACAUGAAACCGCAUGGUUUCAUGAUGAAAGACGGUUUUGCUGUCACUUAUAGAUGGACCCGCGGCGUAUUAGCUAGUUGGUAAGGUAACGGCUUACCAAGGCRACGAUACGUAGCCGACCUGAGAGGGUGAUCGGCCACACUGGAACUGAGACACGGUCCAGACUCCUACGGGAGGCAGCAGUAGGGAAUCUUCCGCAAUGGGCGAAAGCCUGACGGAGCAACGCCGCGUGAGUGAUGAAGGUCUUCGGAUCGUAAAACUCUGUUAUUAGGGAAGAACAAGGRUGUAAGUAACUGUGCAUCCCUUGACGGUACCUAAUCAGAAAGCCACGGCUAACUACGUGCCAGCAGCCGCGGUAAUACGUAGGUGGCAAGCGUUAUCCGGAAUUAUUGGGCGUAAAGCGCGCGUAGGCGGUUUUUUAAGUCUGAUGUGAAAGCCCACGGCUCAACCGUGGAGGGUCAUUGGAAACUGGAAAACUUGAGUGCAGAAGAGGAAAGUGGAAUUCCAUGUGUAGCGGUGAAAUGCGCAGAGAUAUGGAGGAACACCAGUGGCGAAGGCGACUUUCUGGUCUGCAACUGACGCUGAUGUGCGAAAGCGUG